rnacentral:rRNA from 1 species
UACGUAGGUGGCAAGCGUUGUCCGGAUUUACUGGGCGUAAAGAGCGCGCAGGCGGUCGUUCAAGUCGCGUGUGAAAGCCCCCGGCUCAACUGGGGAGGGUCACGCGAUACUGAUCGACUCGAAGGCAGGAGAGGGAAGUGGAAUUCCCGGUGUAGUGGUGAAAUGCGUAGAUAUGCGGAGGAACACCGAUGGCGAAGGCAAUCCCCUGGGCCUGUACUGACGCUCAUGCACGAAAGCGUGGGAGCAAACAGG